rnacentral:rRNA from 1 species
GUAGCUGGUCUGAGAGGAUGGCCAGCCACACUGGAACUGAGACACGGUCCAGACUCCUACGGGAGGCAGCAGUGGGGAAUAUUGGACAAUGGGGGCAACCCUGAUCCAGCAAUGCCGCGUGUGUGAAGAAGGCCUGAGGGUUGUAAAGCACUUUCAGUGGGGAGGAGGGUUGAUAGGUUAAGAGCUAGUUAAUUGGACGUUACCCACAGAAGAAGCACCGGCUAACUCCGUGCCAGCAGCCGCGGUAAUACGGAGGGUGCGAGCGUUAAUCGGAAUUACUGGGCGUAAAGGGUGCGUAGGUGGUUGAWUAAGUUAUCUGUGAAAUCCCUGGGCUUAACCUGGGCAGGUCAUAUAUGACUGUUUGACUCGAGUAURG